UACGAAGGGGGCUAGCAUUGCUCGGAAUCACUGGGCGUAAAGGGUGCGUAGGCGGGUCUUUAAGUCAGGGGUGAAAUCCUGGAGCUCAACUCCAGAACUGCCUUUGAUACUGAAGAUCUUGAGUCCGGGAGAGGUGAGUGGAACUGCGAGUGUAGAGGUGAAAUGCGCAGAUAUCGGGAAGAACACCCGUGGCGAAGGCGGCUCUCUGGGAUAACACUGACGCUCAUGCACGAAAGCGUGGGGAGCAAACAGG
rnacentral:rRNA from 1 species